CCCUUAGAUGUUCUGGGCUGCACGCGCGCUACACUGAUGCACUCAACGAGUUUACGACCUUGCCCGAUAGGGUUGGGUAAUCUUUUUAAAAUGCAUCGUGAUGGGGAUAGAUUAUUGCAAUUAUUAAUCUUCAACGAGGAAUUCCUAGUAAGCGCGAGUCAUCAGCUCGUGCUGAUUACGUCCCUGCCCUUUGUACACACCGCCCGUCGCUCCUACCGAUUGAGUGCUAAGGUGAAUAAUUCGGACUGCAGCAAUGUUUGGAUCCCGAACGUUGCAGCGGAAAGUUUAGUGAACCUUAUCACUUAGAGGAAGGAGAAGUCGUAACA
rnacentral:rRNA from 1 species